GGCAUGGUGCCUUAGGGGUUAGCAUGCUUGCCUUGCACCCCAGGAUUGGGGGUUUGAAUCCCGCCUCUGUCC